AACGAACGCUGGCGGCAUGCCUAACACAUGCAAGUCGAACGAGACGUCCGGGUCUAGUGGCGCACGGGUGUGGCGCGCGUGGGAAUCUGCCCUUCGGUUGGGAAUAACUAAGAGAAAUUUCAGCUAAUACCUUAUAAUGUCUUCGGACCAAAGAUUUAUCGCCGAGGGAGGAGCCCGCGUAGGAUUCGGUAGUUGGGGGGGUAAUGGCCUACCAAGCCGACGAUCCUUAGCUGGUCUGAGAGGAUGAUCAGCCACACUGGGACUGAGACACGGCCCAGACUCCUACGGGUGGCAGCAGGGGGGAAUAUGGGACAAUGCGCGAGAGCCUGAUCCAGCAAGGUCGCGAGAGUGAUGUAGGCCUUAGGGUUGUAAAGCUCUUUUACCCGGGAUGAUAAUGACAGUACCGGGAGAAUAAGCUCCGCUAACCUCGGU
rnacentral:rRNA from 1 species